AAUUAUUACCCCCAAAUUUAGAAAGGGGAACCAAGAGCAAGCUCUUUCGAAAAUUAAGUCACAUGGCAGCCAUGUGCCAAAGGGAAGGUGUCCAUGGACUGAGUCAGCCAGUAGUGGAUGACCCAUACUAUUCUCAGGAUGAAAGCAGAGUAUCCUCACAGCUCCUGAGAAUGUGUCCUUGGUUCCAGCCAUGUACUACGAACAAG